AAGGAUCAUUACAGAGUUCAUGCCCUCACGGGUAGAUCUCCCACCCUUGAAUAUUAUACCUUAGUUGCUUUGGCAGGCCGGGGCAACCCCCGGGGCUUCGGCCUUGGUGUGCCUGCCAGAGGAAACAAACUCUGUUUUUAGUGAUGUCUGAGUACUAUAUAAUAGUUAAAACUUUCAACAACGGAUCUCUUGGUUCUGGCAUCGAUGAAGAACGCAGCGAAAUGCGAUAAGUAAUGUGAAUUGCAGAAUUCAGUGAAUCAUCGAAUCUUUGAACGCACAUUGCGCCCCGUGGUAUUCCGCGGGGCAUGCCUGUUCGAGCGUCAUUUCAACCCAUCAAGCUUCGGCUUGGUCUUGGGGCCUGCGAUUCCGCAGCCUCUAAACCCAGUGGCGGUGCCUCCGAACUCUGAGCGUAGUAAUUCUUCUCGCUAUAGGGUCUCGGUGGUGUCUUGCCAGUAACCCCCAAUUUUUUACAGGUUGACCUCGGAUCAGGUAGGGAUACCCGCUGAACUUAAGCAUAUCAAUAAGCGGAGGAAAAGAAACCAACAGGGAUUACCUCAGUAACGGCGAGUGAAGCGGUAACAGCUCAAAUUUGAAAUCUGCCGCAAGGCCGAGUUGUAAUUUGUAGAAGAUGCUUUGGGUAUGGCCCCGGUCUAAGUUCGUUGGAACACGACGUCAUAGAGGGUGAGAAUCCCGUAUGUGACUGGGUGCUUUUGCCUAUGUAAAGCUCUUUCGACGAGUCGAGUUGUUUGGGAAUGCAGCUCAAAAUGGGUGGUAUAUUUCAUCUAAAGCUAAAUAUUGGCCAGAGACCGAUAGCGCACAAGUAGAGUGAUCGAAAGAUGAAAAGCACUUUGGAAAGAGAGUUAAACAGUACGUGAAAUUGUUGAAAGGGAAGCGCUUGCAACCAGACUUGCACGCUGUUGAUCAUCCAGGCUUCUGUCUGGUGCACUCGGCAGCGUUCAGGCCAGCAUCGGUUCUGGUGGUGGGAUAAAGGCCUUGGGGAUGUAGCUUCUUUCGGGGAGUGUUAUAGCCCUCGGUGCAAUGCCGCCUAUCGGGACCGAGGACCGCGCUUCGGCUAGGAUGCUGGCGUAAUGGUUGUAAGCGACC
rnacentral:rRNA from 1 species